AAUACUUGCACAACCAACUUUACAAGGUCCUUGUGAGGAAAAGUACUUUAUAAACCUAAUUGGGAAUAAUAAAAUAUUUCUGGACCUGUAUCCCUUUGGAGAAACCCUUCACCUUUUGAAAACAUCUAAGGAAGUUGGAGAACAGAAUUAUUUACUUCCACACUUGAAGGAAGAAGAAAGGCAAAAUCCUCACUCUGGGAUAGAUUUAUUUCUCAUCUGGGCUGUUUUAUCACCAUGCCUGAGAGCCACCCAAAUCCCAGAAGACAAUUGCCCCUGUAGACCACUGUGUUCUGAGAUAAGAGAAACUGCCUCAAAGCUCAGAUUGAUUUGGAGUAAAAAGGACAGAAGAAAGGAAACAUUGACAACAAAAAUCUGACAACUUCUGGCAAUCCAAGGGAGAGAGAAGGGCUUGAUCCAUUCUCCUUCCCAGAAUACCAUCUCUGAGAAAAGGAACUGGGAAAUCCACUAACACUAAGGUAUAAAUUACAAAUAAGGCUUAAUAGUUUUCCCUUCUCCAGGGGAUUUGCAGUUUUUAACAGACCUUAAAUAACUUAAGAAGGCUUAAGGCAAAUGAAUAAAGCUCUAAUUUCAGAAUUUCA
rnacentral:lncRNA from 1 species